rnacentral:misc_RNA from 1 species
CGACCUUUGAAAAAAGUAAGUACACUAUAAUAACUAAAAAUUAUCAUUCUUUACCAGCAUUGUUCAGUCAUUCCAAGGUUAAAAACCAUGAAGAAAGACUUCCCAUUCAGUACUUGACAACUCUUCACAACUCCCUCAGGCCAACUGCCAAAUUAACAACUUAAGGGGAAGUUCACACAUUAGCAAACAUGGUAAAAUAACUGAAAGUGAAAAUCCCUCCCUCAAAGGAACACAAAAGGGAGAAGACAACAAAUAGCUGGAGACGGCAAUCUCAAGUAAACCCGCUUGUCAUAUCAGGAAUGGUGUAUACAUGUUCAACUUGUACAAAAGACGUGCAAUGUUUCUAUUUUCCAAUUCCAAGUUCUUUUUCAAUGUCUCUUGUAAGGCUAAAUUGUGCAGUGUUGUGCCAUGGGAACAAUGUACGAGUAACGGGAAGCUUCCUCCGCAAGUCCUUGAAAGUGGUAUCAGGCAAUUUCAAGUAAGAUGUCUGAAGAGAAGCCAGAUACUCAGUCUCAUGGUGGCGAAUAAUGUUGACCAGGGAAAAUGCAGAAUCAUCUGGGGACUGAAUUAGCGUUGUAUCCUUACAUUCGUGUUUUGCAUCUAGCUGUACAUUUCCCUCUUCAAAGUAAUGGGCGCCAACCUGCAUCUCGCCUCUCACUUCUACAGAUUGAAUUUCAUCCUUAAAUUCAAUAUUCCAUAUUGAUCGCCAGCUUCCAUUGCA